UACGGGGGGGCAAGCGUUGUUCGGAAUUACUGGGCGUAAAGGGCUCGUAGGUGGCCAACUAAGUCAGACGUGAAAUCCCUCGGCUUAACCGGGGAACUGCGUCUGAUACUGGAUGGCUAGAGUUUGGGAGAGGGAUGCGGAAUUCCAGGUGUAGCGGUGAAAUGCGUAGAUAUUGCUCGGAAGGCCAACGGCGAAGGCAGGUUACUGGUGCGCAACUGACACUGAGGCACGAAAGCGUGGGGAGCAAACAGG
rnacentral:rRNA from 1 species